GGAUUUUGAUCUUGUUAGCAUCAUCUUGAUCUUCCUCAGAUAAGUUCUGGCUCUCAAGAACAUUACUUGUCUCAUCGUGCUCAUCCAAUUGGUGGUUAUGAGGCUCAGUUGGAGUGCUGUGGGCAACAAGAUCUUGACUUGAACUGCUGUCUUCAACAGUUACAUCAAGCUGGCAAGCUUCAGUUGUCAUGUGGUUUCCAUCGUCAUUUAGUUCAGCAUCAUCUUGAUCAGCUUCAGAAAAACUCUGAGGGGAAUCAGAAACGUGGAUUUCAAAUGUCAAUUCAGCAUUGGCAACUUGCUCUCGAUCUUCUGUUGCAUCUCCAGCUUCACCAUAAGGGAGUUCAGCAAUGGCAAAAUCUU
rnacentral:lncRNA from 1 species